rnacentral:rRNA from 1 species
AAAAACAUGGCUCUUUGCUUAUAUAAAUAUAAAGAGUCGAGCCUGCCCAGUGAAUUUAUUUUUUAACGGCCGCGGUACUCUGACCGUGCAAAGGUAGCAUAAUCAUUUGCCUUAUAAUUGAAGGCUAGUAUGAAUGGUUUGACGAGAGCAAUACUGUCUCCUUUUUAUUUUCAAAAACUUAACUUUUAGGUGAAGAGGCCUAAAUUCCAUUGAAGGACAAGAAGACCCUGUCGAGCUUAAAAGAUACUAUAGAAGUCUAGUAUAUUUUUAGAUAAAUUUUCUAUCAAGCUUUUUAGUUGGGGCGACUAAGGAACAAAAAAAGCUUCUUUCUAAUAAUAAACAAUCAUGUUUGGAUCCGAUAAUAGCGAUCAAAGAAAUUAGUUACCGCAGGGAUAACAGCAUAAUCUCUCUUGAGAGAUCUAAUCGAAAGAGGGGGUUGUGACCUCGAUGUUGGACUAGAAUAUCCUAAAGAUGCAGAAGUCUUUAAGGGUCGGUCUGUUCGACCGUUAAAAUUCUACGUGAUCUGA